GAUGAAGAACGUAGCGUAAUGCGAUAAGUAAUGUGAAUUGCAGAAUUCAGUGAAUCAUCGAAUCUUUGAACGCACAUUGCGCCCCUUGGUAUUCCGAGGGGCAUGCCUGUUCGAGCGUCAUUAUAACCCCUCAAGCUCAGCUUGGUGUUGGGGCCUGCUGCACUGGCAGCCCUUAAAAUCAGUGGCGGCGCCAUCUGGCUCUAAGCGUAGUAAUUCUUCUCGCUAUGGAGUCCUGGUGGAUGCUUGCCAUCAACCCCCAAUUUUUCUAUGGUUGACCUCGGAUCAGGUAGGGAUACCCGCUGAACUUAAGCAUAUCAAUAAGCGGAGGA
rnacentral:misc_RNA from 1 species